rnacentral:rRNA from 1 species
UACGUAGGGGGCAAGCGUUGUCCGGAUUUAUUGGGCGUAAAGAGCGUGUAGGCGGCCACACAGGUCUGCUGUGAAAACUCGAGGCUCAACCUCGAGCUGUCGGUGGAAACCGUGUGGCUAGAGUCCGGAAGAGGAGAGUGGAAUUCCCGGUGUAGCGGUGAAAUGCGCAGAUAUCAGGAAGAACACCCGUGGCGAAGGCGGCUCUCUGGGACGGUACUGACGCUGAGACGCGAAAGCGUGGGGAGCGAACAGG